UAGUAAAGCAAGAGAAAGAGAGGCAACAAGCACAUCUUCAAGAUCCAGUGUGUCCUCCUCUCACCACGCGUCUCACCCAGAAGGAGCCACGUUGCAGACUCCGAGCAGCCACGUGUGGCGGCUGGUUACCACGCUGGACAGCACAGCUCUCCUCGACUAAUUAGAACUGAUCGUAAUAAUUAUGUAAACUGUUGUGUUUCCUUUUACUGCCCUGGUUGCCAGGAAACCCAAAGCUAAAUUCGGUGCUCGAUAAUAGAAGUUUUUUCAUCUCAUCCUGUGUUCCUCUAAAAUUGACUUCUCUUUCUUCUAAAUAAAUUUGAAUAUCUUUGUUUUUUUA